rnacentral:rRNA from 1 species
GACGAACCGUGCGAACGUUAUUCGGAAUCACUGGGCUUAAAGCGCGUGUAGGCGGGUCGGCACGUCGGUCGCUGAAAUCCCCCGGCUCAACCGGGGAAGGGGCGCCGAUACGGCCGGCCUGGAGGGACGUAGGGGGGGCUGGAACUUCCGGUGGAGCGGUGAAAUGCGUUGAGAUCGGAAGGAACGCCCGUGGCGAAAGCGAGGUCCUGGACGUCUGCUGACGCUGAGACGCGAAAGCCAGGGGAGCGAACGGG